AGGAAAAAACACAAGACUUUCCCCAGUAAAAUGGCGUUCAUGUCGAGAAAUUAAGGAGAAAACACAAGACGCUCAACAGGAAACAGGAGUUCAUGUCCUGAGGAAGUAAAGGAGAAAACACAUGACUUUCACCCAGGAAACAGGUGUUCAUGUCCUGGAGAAGUUAAGGAGAAAA